GAUGAACGCUGGCGGCGUGCCUAAUACAUGCAAGUCGAGCGAACAGAUGAGGAGCUUGCUUCUCUGACGUUAGCGGCGGACGGGUGAGUAACACGUGGAUAACCUACCUAUAAGACUGGGAUAACUUCGGGAAACCGGAGCUAAUACCGGAUGAUAUAUUGAACCGCAUGGUUCAAUAGUGAAAGACGGUCUUGCUGUCACUUAUAGAUGGAUCCGCGCUGCAUUAGCUAGUUGGUAAGGUAACGGCUUACCAAGGCAACGAUGCAUAGCCAACCUGAGAGGGUGAUCGGCCACACUGGAACUGAGACACGGUCCAGACUCCUACGGGAGGCAGCAGUAGGGAAUCUUCCGCAAUGGGCGAAAGCCUGACGGAGCAACGCCGCGUGAGUGAUGAAGGUCUUCGGAUCGUAAAACUCUGUUAUUAGGGAAGAACAAAUGUGUAAGUAACUAUGCACGUCUUGACGGUACCUAAUCAGAAAGCCACGGCUAACUACGUG
rnacentral:rRNA from 1 species